rnacentral:rRNA from 1 species
GACGAACGCUGGCGGCGUGCCUAAUACAUGCAAGUAGAACGCUGAAGGAGGAGCUUGCUUCUCUGGAUGAGUUGCGAACGGGUGAGUAACGCGUAGGUAACCUGCCUGGUAGCGGGGGAUAACUAUUGGAAACGAUAGCUAAUACCGCAUAAUAGUAGAUGUUGCAUGACAUUUGCUUAAAAGGUGCAAUUGCAUCACUACCAGAUGGACCUGCGUUGUAUUAGCUAGUUGGUGGGGUAACGGCUCACCAAGGCGACGAUACAUAGCCGACCUGAGAGGGGGAUCGGCCACACUGGGACUGAGACACGGCCCAGACUCCUACGGGAGGCAGCAGUAGGGAAUCUUCGGCAAUGGACGGAAGUCUGACCGAGCAACGCCGCGUGAGUGAAGAAGGUUUUCGGAUCGGAAAGCUCUGUUGUAAGAGAAGAACGAGUGUGAGAGUGGAAAGUUCACACUGUGACGGUAUCUUACCAGAAAGGGACGGCUAACUACGUG